rnacentral:rRNA from 1 species
CCAGACUCCUACGGGAGGCAGCAGUGGGGAAUCUUCCGCAAUGGACGAAAGUCUGACGGAGCAACGCCGCGUGAGUGAUGACGGCCUUCGGGUUGUAAAGCUCUGUUAAUCGGGACGAAAGGCCUUCUUGCGAAUAGUGAGAAGGAUUGACGGUACCGGAAUAGAAAGCCACGGCUAACUACGUGCCAGCAGCCGCGGUAAUACGUAGGUGGCAAGCGUUGUCCGGAAUUAUUGGGCGUAAAGCGCGCGCAGGCGGAUCGGUCAGUCUGUCUUAAAAGUUCGGGGCUUAACCCCGUGAUGGGAUGGAAACUGCCAAUCUAGAGUAUCGGAGAGGAAAGUGGAAUUCCUAGUGUAGCGGUGAAAUGCGUAGAUAUUAGGAAGAACACCAGUGGCGAAGGCGACUUUCUGGACGAAAACUGACGCUGAGGCGCGAAAGCCAGGGGAGCGAACGGGAUUAGAUACCCCGGUAGUCCUGGCCGUAAACGAUGGGUACUAGGUGUAGGAGGUAUCGACCCCUUCUGUGCCGGAGUUAACGCAAUAAGUACCCCGCCUGGGGAGUACGACCGCAAGGUUGAAACUCAAAGGAAUUGACGGGGGCCCGCACAAG